UAGGGAAUCUUCGGCAAUGGGGGCAACCCUGACCGAGCAACGCCGCGUGAGUGAAGAAGGUUUUCGGAUCGUAAAGCUCUGUUGUAAGAGAAGAACGUGUGUGAGAGUGGAAAGUUCACACAGUGACGGUAACUUACCAGAAAGGGACGGCUAACUACGUGCCAGCAGCCGCGGUAAUACGUAGGUCCCGAGCGUUGUCCGGAUUUAUUUGGCGUAAAGCGAGCGCAGGCGGUGUAAUAAGUCUGAAGUUAAAGGCAGUGGCUUAACCAUUGUUCGCUUUGGAAACUGUUGAACUUGAGUGCAGAAGGGGAGAGUGGAAUUCCAUGUGUAGCGGUGAAAUGCGUAGAUAUAUGGAGGAACACCGGUGGCGAAAGCGGCUCUCUGGUCUGUAACUGACGCUGAGUCUCGAAAGCGUGGGGAGCAAACAGG
rnacentral:rRNA from 1 species